UACGUAGGGUCCGAGCGUUGUCCGGAAUUAUUGGGCGUAAAGAGCUCGUAGGCGGCCUGUCGCGUCGGUUGUGAAAGCCCGGGGCUCAACCCCGGGUCUGCAGUCGAUACGGGCAGGCUAGAGUUCGGUAGGGGAGAUCGGAAUUCCUGGUGUAGCGGUGAAAUGCGCAGAUAUCAGGAGGAACACCGGUGGCGAAGGCGGAUCUCUGGGCCGAUACUGACGCUGAGGAGCGAAAGCGUGGGGAGCGAACAGG
rnacentral:rRNA from 1 species